ACGUGAUCUGAGUUCAGACCGGAGAAAUCCAGGUCAGUUUCUAUCUAUAAAAAGUCUUUUUUAGUACGAAAGGACCAAAAAGACACAGCCAAUGUAAUUUACAAGCUGUACCUAAUAAUUUGUGAUCCAAUCUUAACAUAAAAUUAGAUUUUAUUUUAACUCAAAAAAAGAGCA
rnacentral:rRNA from 1 species